UACGUAGGAGGCGAGCGUUGUCCGGAAUUACUGGGUGUAAAGCGCGCGUAGGUGGGAGGCCAAGUCUGUGGUGAAAGCCCCCGGCUCAACUGGGGAGGGUCACGCGAUACUGCUCGACUUGAAGGCAGGAGAGGGAAGUGGAAUUCCCGGUGUAGUGGUGAAAUGCGUAGAUAUCGGGAGGAACACCAGUGGCGAAGGCGACUUCCUGGCCUGUUCUUGACGCUGAGGCGCGAAAGCUAGGGUAGCAAACGGG
rnacentral:rRNA from 1 species